rnacentral:lncRNA from 1 species
GUUUCAGAUGCAUUUGCUGAUCAGCCGCUUUUAUCGUACCGCGGAUGUGCUUUUUGGGUAAGUUUCAGCAUUGGUUGAAUAAUGUAUUAAAUUUAUAUGAUGACAGUAAUUACCGUAUGAUUUUAUUGAUUUCAAACUUCAUGGCUGCAAUUAUUGCAACUGAUUAUUUUUGGAAUCAACGAAAUCUGUGUGUUCUAGAGACAUUUUAUUAAUAAGAGCAUACAUUUUUAUUUUCAGAAAUGAUUCAACAUGAAAACGGAACUGCCAAGACACAAUUCUGGUUUUACCAUGCAUUUAAUUAAGGUAAAUAUAAAGAUGAUAUCCAUGUAGAAAUUGAUACAUUUUGAAUAUGAUGAUAGUAAUUACCGUAUGAUGUCUUUGAUUAAAACACCAUGGCUGCAAUUAUUGCAACUGAUUAUCUUUGAAAUACAUGUCAUUAUUUGCCAUGCUAGUCAUAUUUUAUACUAAUCAAUGAUUUUUCAAUUUGCAGUGAACCUCUGUUAAAAGAAGUCUGAAAUAUGAACGGCUCCAUUAGCAAGAUUCUAUAUGGAUUUCACGUACUAUCAAGCUAGGUAAGUUAAGCUGCAACAUACGUCAGACUGUAAAGCUAGUUCAAAUAUUUAUAUGAUGAAUACCUUUUAUCUAUUAACUUUCGUUCUACUGAGUAGAAAAUGCGGAGAAAUUUACCUGAUUUAACUUAGCUAUUAUAUUGAUACAAAGUCAGAGUCUAAGUGAUGUUAAUAGCCAUUUUCACGUCUUCUUUACAGUCCAAAGUCCGACAUGGCCUGAAGACUUCUCUGGAUUGUAUUGAUUCUACUGGUAUGUGUUCUAUAUCAAUCGCUUUACCUUAAAUUCUUAAAAUGAUGUUACUUCAUAGUAUAGUUCAUUAGAAUUCCACAUGUUACAACGUUUUCGAAGCUGAUAUUGUCUUCAAACAAGCUUCAGGCGUCCCACCAUAGCAAAUCUUAUUCAUUUAUUAUUUUUCUUGCAGCUCCAAUGAUUUGCUUUCCACCAGUCGGAACAGAUGUAGCCAUACAAUGUUAUAAGGAAGGUGCCGCCACGUCCAUAUCUAUUGCCUGAUAUAAAGGUAGAGUUCUGGAAACUUUCUUACGAUUUUUUUGUUGUAAAGCGUUUUAUUUGAUGAAUAUCCUAACUCAGGAUUCCCUCUUCUGAGUAGAACCCUAAACAACCAUGCUGUUCACUUUUCCCUGUCUGAACAUAAAACGCUUAACAAUAACAAUUGUUUGCAUAUUAAAUAUUUAUGAAUUUGCCUAAUGAAUUAUUUUACACUUGCAGAUUGAUCAUUACUGUAGGAUACGACACUUGCUUGAGUUCCUUUUGAAGUUUGAAGUUUGGAAAACAUAUUUAAAGGUAAGAUCAAAUUUCGGUUGAGUGAAAAUUAUACAAUUUCUUUGAUGAAUAUCCUAACUCAGGAUUCCCUCUUCUGAGUAGAACCCUAAACAACCAUGCUGUUCACUUUUCCCUGUCUGAACAUAAUACGCUACAAAAAUAUUAUUGUGUAUUUCAUAUUUUGUAUUAAACUCGAACUAUUUAUUUUAUUUGCAGGUAGCUUUAACGCAUUUUGGACUCAUAAAUACAUCAGAGAGGAGGUAAAAUAUGAUUUCAUUAAUCUUGUUGCUCUUUUGAAAUGAUGAAGAAGCCCUUAGUGGUUUUAUUUUCUUAGAAUCUCAAACAUCAUGCUGAUUUUGUCUUCUUUCCCCAACUGACACAUCAUUUCAAUCGAAUACUUGAAUACGUUUAUCAACACAAAGUUCUAAUUAUGUUAUUUCUCUCUCUCUUGCAGGUUAUUGUGUUACAGAAUAAAAUGUUGAAAAUAAAAGUUAAUUGAAAG